UAGGUAGUCAACGAAGAUGUCAACUA
rnacentral:piRNA from 1 species